rnacentral:rRNA from 1 species
CCUACGGGUGGCAGCAGUAGGGAAUCUUCCACAAUGGGCGAAAGCCUGAUGCAGCAACGCCGCGUGGGUGAAGAAGGUCUUCGGAUCGUAAAACCCUGUUGUUAGAGAAGAAAGUGCGUGAGAGUAACUGUUCACGUUUCGACGGUAUCUACCCAGAAAGCCCCGGAUAACUACGUGCCAGCAGCCGAGGUAAUACGUAGGUGGCAAGCGUUAUCCGGUUUUAUUGGGCGUAAAGGGAACGCAGGCGGGCUUUUAAGUCUGAUGUGAAAGCCUUCGGCUUAACCGGAGUAGUGCAUUGGAAACUGGGAGACUUGAGUGCAGAAGAGGAGAGUGGAACUCCAUGUGUAGCGGUGAAAUGCGUAGAUAUAUGGAAGAACACCAGUGGCGAAAGCGGCUCUCUGGUCUGUAACUGACGCUGAGGUUCGAAAGCGUGGGUAGCAAACAGGAUUAGAUACCCCUGUAGUC